UCGGUCUUGGGCAGGUUCUGACGCAGGUAGUAAAGGCGGUCAGAUUCUAAAUGUAUUUUCGAAGGCGAGUGCACCACUGGGGUGUGGAAACCAAGUCUCUGAGGAGACAGAUGAGUGGAGUUGACAGCAAGAACACCAAGAAUGUGCUUCACCGACAGGGAACAAGAGACUGGAGGCCCCGGGAAGGAAGGACCUGCCUAAGGACACACA